rnacentral:rRNA from 1 species
AGGGUUCGAUUCUGGCUCAGGAUGAACGCUAGCGACAGGCUUAACACAUGCAAGUCGAGGGGCAGCACGGGAGUAGCAAUACAACUGGUGGCGACCGGCGCACGGGUGAGUAACGCGUAUGCAACCUACCUAUCAGAGGGGAAUAACCCGGCGAAAGUCGGACUAAUACCGCAUAAAACAGGGGCACCGCAUGGUGAUAUUUGUUAAAGAGAUUCGCUGAUAGAUGGGCAUGCGUUCCAUUAGGUAGUUGGUGAGGUAACGGCUCACCAAGCCGACGAUGGAUAGGGGAACUGAGAGGUUGGUCCCCCACACUGGUACUGAGACACGGACCAGACCCCUACGGGAGGCAGCAGUGAGGAAUAUUGGUCAAUGGGCGGGAGCCUGAACCAGCCAAGUCGCGUGAAGGAAGAAGGAUCUAUGGUUCGUAAACUUCUUUUGCAGGGGAAUAAAGUGCAGGACGUGUCCUGUUUUGUAUGUACCCUGAGAAUAAGGAUCGGCUAACUCCGUGCCAGCCGCGGC